CCUACCUGGCCCACUGCUUUAGCUGCUCACUGGUGACCUGGCCUCCAAGACCUUUCCAAACAUCUGCUACAUCUUUUCUCAGAUCACAGUGUGUAUUGCGGUCACUGCUGGACUCCAGAAUUGCUGAAAUGCUGAUAUGGUGCUGUGCUCAUUCCUCUUCCCCAUUAACUGUGCUCUCUGAGUAUCUCUAGCUCAAAGGAGGACAUGGAGGAAUCUCUUAAUGGAAGCAUGUCAAGCAGUGCCACAGCCCAUUUGGAAUUUAAAAU